rnacentral:rRNA from 1 species
GUGAGUAGUUCAGAGUUUGAUCCUGGCUCAGGACGAACGCUGGCGGCAUGCCUAACACAUGCAAGUCGAACGGAGAAUCACUUCGGUGAUUCUUAGUGGCGAACGGGUGAGUAACGCGUAGGCAACCUGCCCUUUGGAUGGGGACAACAUUCCGAAAGGAGUGCUAAUACCGAAUGUGACGAUUUUACCGCAUGGUUUAAUCGUGAAAGAUGGCCUCUACAUGUAAGCUAUCGCCAAAGGAUGGGCCUGCGUCUGAUUAGCUAGUUGGUGGGGUAACGGCUCACCAAGGCGACGAUCAGUAGCCGGUCUGAGAGGAUGAACGGCCACAUUGGGACUGAGACACGGCCCAG